GGUGGUGCCCGUCCGUUGUAGGAGUUCGUCUGAAAUCCAUCCGCUAUAGAAGUUCAGCUGGGAUCCGACUCUCGUUGGAGCUCGAAUGAAAUUCGAAAGGUGGUCGACUGCCAUAGAGACUUGGAAUUUGAUUACUGUAGAAGUCCUGCUAUUGGAGAAGCUCAGACAUUGACGAAGCCCAAAAGAAGUUCGGAGUAAAGUCAUUCAUGGUCGGAAGAAGUCUGAAAGAGAUUUGAAGAAUAGUCGAUCACUAUAGAAAAUUGGCGGAUAGUGAAGCUCAAAGAGUGC
rnacentral:lncRNA from 1 species